GUUUGAUCGAAAGUCACUUUACUGCUUACCAUAUGAUUAUCUUUUCUAGGAACUUUAUAGUAGAGUUUUGGAAUUAAUGAAGAACCAUUAGAUUGCGCUCCUGGAUGGUUUAGGAACCGAUCCCUUUUAGUGUGAGUUGAUUUAACCAGCAAACAAUUAAGUUGAAAUGUUUACUGGUUUAUUUUUCAUUUAAAGGAGUCUGGGGAGGUGGC
rnacentral:misc_RNA from 1 species